rnacentral:tRNA from 1 species
CGGGUUGUAGUUCAGUUGGUUAGAAUGCUUGCCUGUCACGCAAGAGGUCGCGGGUUCGAUCCCCGCCAGCCCGACCA